rnacentral:rRNA from 1 species
GACGAACGCUGGCGGCGUGCUUAACACAUGCAAGUCGAACGGAGUGGCGAACGGGUGAGUAACACGUUGGUGACCUGCCCUGCACUUCGGGAUAAUCCUGGGAAACUGGGUCUACUACCGCCUAGUGUGGGAUGGGCCCGCGGCAAAUCCGCUUGUUGGUGGGGUAAUGGCCUCCCCAGGCGGCGACGGGUGGCCGGCAUGAGCUGGUGGACGGCCACAUUGGGCCUGAGGCACGGCCCAGACUCAUACGGGAGGCAGCAGUGGGGAAUAUUGCCCAAUGGGCGGAAGCCUGAUGCAGCGACGCCGGGUGGGGGAUGACGGCCUUCGGGUUGUAAACUCCUGUCACCAUCGACGCGGUAGAUGGAGAAGAAGCACCGGCUAACUACGUGCCAGCAGCCGCGGUAAUAC